CAGGGGCGGAUCUAGGGAUGAUCAGAGCGAUCACGCGACUAAGGUAAAAAUUGGCCAGGAAAUUGUUAAAUUAAAAUAGCAAUCCAGUUAUAAAACUUCGCGCAGUGUAUUGUAUUGAAAGUUUAAUAGUCCAGUUCUAAGAUAUCAUCCAGUAGCAAGGCCUUCGAACAUGAACGCGCAGAAAAGCGGUCUUACGCAUGAGUUUUGCACGCUCUGAGUCAGAUUCCAGCCAUCUGAUUGGCUAUCUCGAUUUUUGCGCGAUCUGUGGGGAGUUCUGAUCGCUAAAGCGAUCAGGGGCUCGAAUACAGGCUAUCUGAUUGGCUAAUUCAAAAAAAUUCUCAAUUCCCGUUGGCUGGAUUUUUUUGAUCGAUCAUACCGCUCAGGCUAAUAGUAUGCACGGAAAGGUCUAUGACGUUGCUGGUCUUUCUGAUCAAGCAGCACUAUUUAUGUAAAUUGACUGAAAUAUUAUGUAAAUUUCGUCUCCUAUUAUUAUACGCGUACCCGCCGAUUUUAUAGCAUGUGCGUUUUAUGGCAAUCGGAAAAUUUAUCAGAACUUCUAAACUAAUACUACCCAUGUCUGUUCGUAAUUACGAAACCGCAAAGGCUGCUUUAGAGAAUCUGAUCGACAAUAUAUGACUAAUAUGUAACCGAAGCGUUCCGUUAUAAAAGACUUAUUGAGCGCUGUGAACAACACAAGCUUCUUCCUCGCACCGCGAAAUUUUGGUGUGGAAUCUUACAUCCCGAAUUACGUCCGAGAGAAAACAAAAAAGUUUUGUACGGGCUUAAGGUAAAUAUAUUCUAUUUUAACUAGAUAUAGCAUUAUAGCUGUUGUAAGCUGUAGUGGAUUGCGCGCUGUAUGUAAUAAGAGACGAAAUUUACAUAAUAUUUCGGUCAAUUUACACAAUACUGCGGCUUAAUACAAGCAGUUUCAGUUUGUUUAUACUUUGUUUAUGCCUCUUGUGGAAUGUAGGCUUUAUAUAUUGAUCAGAUACUUAAUAAUACUGUAUUAUUUAUACCUAGUUGUCUAGUAUAUUAAAACUACAAGCACAUGACAAUGUGGCAUGGCUUUGUGUAAUACGAUCUCUACAACAUGUAUACAAUAAAAGUAAAAUGCAUCAUGUUGCCAUUGUGAAUACUUAUUCAUGGCAUACGUUUCUGCUACGAAUAAAACUCGAGAAGCAGUGAAUUAAACGUGGAAAUUCUCUUCCUGCGAAUUAACAAUCAAUCAAAUGUUUUAUAAAACUACAUCGCUAUAUUUGAAAAUCGUUUGACCAUUCAUGUAAAUUAAGGACACAAUAUGGAGUUAUGUGUUUCCCAGGCAUGCUGACGAGCCCUGAAUUGGGCGAAACAGUAAUUUUUCAUCUAACAUUUUUUCGUAAAACUGGAUAUAAAUUAAUUCGCUUUGCAAC